UCCUUCUUGUUAAAAGCACCCUGCUUAAAUUGUGAGAUCGAAGUCAUGACUUGGUUCUCACAAUAAUGAAAGUAAGAGUAUACUCCAAGAAGGAGAGUGACUGCACAAUAUCGGAAAUGAGACAAGGACGGACCUCUUUCUUAAUGUCCAGUGCCCUUUGUCUCAAGAUCUUGUGCAACACUU
ensembl:snoRNA small nucleolar RNA SNORA81